GCGUUCAUAGCUCAGUUGGUUAGAGUACCACCUUGACAUGGUGGGGGUCGUUGGUUCGAGUCCAAUUGAACGCACCA
rnacentral:tRNA from 5 species